rnacentral:tRNA from 2 species
GUCUGGCUGGCUCAGUCGGAAGAGCAUGAGACUCUUGAUCUCGGGGUUGUGGGUUCAAGCCCCAUGUUGGACA